rnacentral:rRNA from 1 species
UACGUAGGUGGCAAGCGUUGUCCGGAUUUACUGGGCGUAAAGGGCGUGCAGGCGGUUUGUUUAGUCUAGGGUGAAAGCUCCCGGCUUAACUGGGAGAGGUCCUUGGAUACUGGCAAACUUGAGGGAGGCAGAGGAAAGUGGAAUUCCCGGUGUAGUGGUGAUAUGCGUAGAUAUCGGGAGGAACACCAGUGGCGAAGGCGGCUUUCUGGGCCUUACCUGACGCUGAGACGCGAAAGCGUGGGGAGCGAACCGGAUUAGAAACCCCCGUAGUCC